GGUGUGUGACGCGAUGCUUCCUGUGUCUGCAGGUCUGUGUUUGCAGGUGAAGCUGCAGAGAUGUUUACCGUUCAAACACAAGCUGGAGAUUUACAUUUCCGAGGGAACCCACUCCACUGAAGAAGACAUUAACAAGCAGAUCAACGAUAAGGAGCGGGUGGCGGCCGCCAUGGAGAACCCCAACCUCCGGAGAUAGUGGAGCAGUGUGUCACCGGCCCGACGACUGAUAGAGGGGGGGGAGGGGGGGGGGGGGUGGUGUGUGUGUGUGUGUGUGUGUGUGUGUGUGUGUGUGUGUGUGUG